ensembl:lncRNA
GAGCAGAAGAGCAAGAAGUGAAGGUUAACAGAGGGAGAAGCGGUCACAUGUUCCUUCAGAAGAGGUGUGAAGUAGGCAGGUGGAAAAAUACAGACAAGUGGGGAAAAGGAGAAUGCACCAGUCAGCACCAAGCUGGGGCAGAAGUGAUGGAUUCUGUAAGGAUAAUGGAAAGUCAUUUCAUUAUGUGCGGCUAACAGACGGGAUAGUCUUUUGUGUGCAUGAAAAUGAGUUUGCCGAACAAUUCCACCACUGAUUGUUGAGUCUUAGAAGAUAUUUUUGUGUUGGGCAGGGCCAAGAGGGAAAGCUGACAAUGCGUGACAAAAGACUAUCCAACCAAGGAGUAGCAUAAGUCAUGUAUGUGUCAUGGCAACUAAGCCCAGAAGAAUUUGGGGGUAAAAUGGAAAGCAGCAUUGGAAGUGCAGAAACACGGGAGCCAACAGACUGACGAUGGUGUUGAGUAUCUCAUCCAUGGUCACUGCUCCAAGCACCACCCUGGCCCGAAUCUUCAAUCAUUUGUGGCUUUGGCUUAGUAGGCAAGUUCAAGCUUUGCUCUCUGGACUUCAUGGCUCCUUCCUACCUAGUGUUAAGUUAUGUGAGUCAGCCUGAGUCAGCUUCAAGAACUUUCCUUCACCAUUCUUUUGUGCUCCUGACAAGAGAGGCCAGCAUAGUUCAUCUCAGAAGUGGAGGGAUGGGAAGUAUGGCUGAAUCAACAAAGCGGGGCCUUUUGGCUACCCUGCCGUACCAUGGAAUCUAGGACGAGAGAGAAAGGUGUGACCCAGAACAGUAGCUCACUUCGGUGGAGGAAACUAUCCGAAGGCAUCUAUGUUAUUAAAUCUUCUAUGCAAGGAACAUUUUGUUCACUGAUUCUGGGCUACAACUUAAUAAUAAAAAUUACAGAUUCCUCAACUCACCCACAAGGAGCCUAUCAUCUUUGACAUUCUUAUGGGACACAAUGGAGGCUUUGUCAAGGCCCAAGCUGAUUUGGGGUGUGUUCCGUUUCUGGGGUGCUCCUCUUGCAAAGAAUAGACAGACACUCCAUCCAACCUGGCUAAGAAAGAAUUCCCAUGAAAUGAUCAGCUGACUCUAGGAAGAAAAAAGAACAGCAAAAGAGUUUGAGACAGGGAUACUGUUGUAUGCUAAUGCUUAUCAACUGGUUGAUAAAGGCACUAUGCACACGAUAGAUACUUCCCUAAUUCUUAUGCCAACUUAACAUGGCAGGUUACAGGACGUUUACCUCACAGGUGAAGGAAACUGCCGGGGUCAGAAAAGUCACACAAUGGAACCAGACUUCCAGCCACUGAUAUCAGCUAUCAAGUUCUACGUUUCCCCUUCUUGUGCAUCUACAAAAGACCUUAGAGCAUGCACAUGGCCCGAACAAGGGGGAGAACUCGCUCUAGGCUGGCCUCGAACACACAGAGAUCCACCAGCCUCUGCCUCCCGAGUGCUGGGAUUAAAGGCGUGUGCCACCAAAGCCUGGCCACAGUUUCUCCCUCUACGCACUUUAAAAGUGGCUUUUGCUCAGCACUUCUAGGAGUUCCUGGUACCAUGUAUGACCUACCGUCAGAUUCACAGCUCACUCGUUGUCUGUUCCCACCACCACCUCACAGGCUCUGAAGACUAGCUGCCGCUGAUGCUUUUAAGAGUCUACAGACCCCAUGUCCCCCAGAGUCAUGCUUCAUGAUGCCUUUGAACAUGCCUGUGCUCACCUGUGAUCUCCAACCCUCCAUACCCUGGUUCUAGGCAUGCUACUGCCAUUUAUCAUAUUUUAUUGUGAUGGUUGAUUCAUUUACCACACUUAAUUUUAGACAAAUAAUCAAAGGUUGUUUCUUCCUUCUACAUCCCCAAUGAAAACACUAGUGCCCCAGUGUUUUUCUAGAAAUCUUCAUUUCUAUUUUGUCUCUGCGAUAUGGACAAUGAAGUUAAAGGGGACACAACAUAAUUUGCAUUGGAAAUUCAGGCACCUCUCUCCUUUGUUGACAUCAGACCUUCAUCCUUUGGCAUUACCAGUCUUUAGAGAAUUUAUUAAAACAGGUGUGGAAUGAUGGUGCCAUGCUGGAGAGGAACAGUGUUUUCAAGCUUCAUCAACUAAAGAAAUCAUUCUGUCUACCAUGAUUUAUUAACAAUGAUCUGAAGGCUCAAGGGUAUAAGUGUGGCCAACUUCAGACCUAUUUGUGGUCAAUUCCAGAUUUAAUUUCAGGUCUUCUGAUAUCCAGAUCAGAGAACUCCAUCACACCUCUGUACCGUCUCUUCCAAACUAUGUCUUUGUUUCUUCAUUUCCUCUCUCCAAACUGUCUUAUUUUUUUUCUUCCUGAAUGAUUGGCAAAGCCACUGUCUGUUAGACGACACAGAGGGUCAGAAAGAUGAAAUGACUGGUCCCUGGGGUUCAGUGACUAUCACUGAGGAAGGAGGACAAAACACCAACAACAGACAGCUGCUGACUUAGAAGUCAAGGAUUCCACAUUUUUGGAUUGUCUGCAGUUGUAUUAUUGGCAAAUAAGAUUUGUGGAUGCUGAGCUAUACAGUAGCUGUUUUACCUUAGGGUUUGAUACUAGCUUUUUCAAAUAAAAUUAAUGUGGUUACAAUUUUGAGGGACAGGGAAGAGAGGCAUUUAUCUGGAAACAUUAUCUUUCAGACAAGAAUGUUUUAAUGACCAAUACCUGCAAAACUACGUGUUCUUUUCUGUGUAAGAACAUACAAUGUCGUUUCCCGAUGUUUCAAAUGCCUGCCUGACUUGGUAGCAAGCUCACAGGAACUGUGGCUACAGUCAUUGGCCACCUACUAUGGCCAAGACAAAAGCAGGAGGCAGAGGCUUGUCAGGACAAGGAGCAUGGUUGCUCUAUGACUCCAAACACAAGUUUUUAGUGGCACAGAAAACAAACAGCUUCAAGGGGUUGAGUUGAAAGGGUGUCUUCCAAGUGAGGGAAUGCCAAAGGGUUUCAGGAAGAGCUGAGCUUUGGAAGAACGAGACUCAGGAAAGAGGGCUAAAAAGGAAAGAGAUUUGAAGCAGAGAAGAUGGGCUUCUGAGGUCCUGAAAUCAACAACAUGCUCCUUAGACUUUAUUAAAGAUCUCCAUUGGAUUAUAUUCAAAUUUUUCUUCUAGUGUAUUCCUCCCCCCUACAAAAAAAAAAAAAAAAAACAGACGCCACCCCCAGAGAAGAGAGAAUAAAGUUACUUUUUCCAUAGACAAAAUAUACAAAAUCCUUGCCAGCCACUGUGGCUGGGAACCGUUGCUACAAACCUAUGAGUAAGUUUGAACAAAUUUAUUUCCUUGCUCAUCUAAGACCUUAGACCAAUCACAUGGCCCGAUGGGGCAGAAAACAGGAACAGGGAGGCACAGCUUCUUCCUCUACAUUCUAAAAGUGGCGUCUGAUCAGCACUUCUAAGUCCCUGGCAUUUCGAUUUGAGCUUAUCAGAUUCACAAGACAGUCUGACCUCCUUCCUAUCACCACUUCAAGACUCUCUGAAGACUGGCUACCAUGAAUGCAUUCAAUAGUUUUCAGAUAUGUGACAGCCCCCAAAGUUAUGCUUCAUGAUGCCUUUGAAGUUUUUGUAUGCUCACCUGAGAUCUCUAACCCUCCAUACCUUGGUUCUAGAUGUGGUACUGCCAUUCAUCACAUUUUAUUAAUGAUGGUUGAUUGAUUUAUAAUUUCAAACAAAUCAUUAAAGGCUAAUUUUUUAAACCCUCUUAUAUCCGUGUUAAAAUCUUUGCACCACAAGCUGCUAUUGUGUACUGUCGCUUGACAUUCCAACAAUUUUGCAACGAAUUCUAUUCUAUAUUAUCUUCAGGAAAAAAUCCAGAGUAAGACAACACAAACUAAGUCACAUGAAUAUGGAUACACACUCUAUGCAGUCUUAUUUAAUAAGGCGGAUUUAAUUGCAGAAUAGAAGAGGCGCAGAAUUCCAUUCACUUUGAAAGAAUCAGGUUGCUUGGAUACACCAUACCUAGGGCACCAAGGCUCCAUCUCUUGGCCCCACAACCUCAGCAUGCGCCUCCUUCCUUUGCCCCUGCUGCCAAGCCAUUCACAGAAGUUUCUUCCUGGGUGGCUUCUUUGUUUCUCUUCCUGCUUCCCAGACUCCACUUCACCACUCUCCCCCUGCUAGGUUGGACCUUCACUGCUGCCUCUGAAGAAACUAUCUCAGAGCUGCACACACCUUUUAGCUCAGCCAAAAGCAGCUACGGAAACACAAUCAUUAGGCCACAUUUGCAGUGAAAUUGUGAAUAUUAACUUAGUGAAGAUUGUAAGUCACUCUAAAUUGAAAAUGGCUUGUCUGUAUUUUCAGUAGGAUCACUGUUCCUUCUAAGUAUAUGUCUAUAAUUACUUUUCAGAUCAUCCAGAACUCUAACAUGGGCAAUGAAAGGAUAUUAGGGACAGGUCACAACAAUAUGCCAAGAACAUUACAGGUAUGGACAAACAAAGGAAAAGGAAAAUAUGGGUGCCUAUCAAAAAGAGAAAAAUUAGAAAACACAAUUAUACAAAUUGAAUUUAGUGCUGACAUGUUGCAUGAAGAUAAUAACAGAGUAGUAGGACUAUGAAAACAGAGUGUUCCCAAAGAUAAUAAUGUCCGGGGGUUUCUUCCUUAAAAUUUAUAAGCUACUACUUGAUAUGUGUUUUCCCUUCCUGGCAAAUAUAAAGAUCUUUUCAAGUUACACUGCAUAAAUGCAAUGCAUUGGAUCAAAUGUUACAACAGACAGAGAAAAACCCAGGUAAUUUCCACAUCAGUUGGAAUGUAUUCAUGUAGUAGCCUGAAUUUUAAAAUUAUUUCAAGUUCAGAAUUUCAGUUGAAAAAGUUGAUAAAAGAAAUAAUUAUUGAACAAUGAGAUAACUUUUAUACAUACAUACAUACAUACAUACAUACAUACACAUAUAUGUAAUUGGGCUAAAAAAAU